UACGGGUGGGGCAAGCGUUGUUCGGAAUUACUGGGCGUAAAGGGCUCGUAGGCGGCCAACUAAGUCAGACGUGAAAUCCCUCGGCUUAACCGGGGAACUGCGUCUGAUACUGGAUGGCUUGAGUUUGGGAGAGGGAUGCGGAAUUCCAGGUGUAGCGGUGAAAUGCGUAGAUAUCUGGAGGAACACCGGUGGCGAAGGCGGCAUCCUGGACCAACACUGACGCUGAGUGAGCGAAAGCCAGGGGAGCAAACGGG
rnacentral:rRNA from 1 species